UUCUAUCCCCCACCUUUCAGUCUCCCUUCCUAGUACCUCUGGCCCCAGCCUCUUCUUUUUCAUAAUUACCAUGUGUCUUGGUCUGGCAUGCCAUGGAGGCAUGUGUGGUCCAAUCCACUGGUUUCCUUAUUGGUGAUUCUGUGUACUGGAAGACAUUGUCCAGGCAAUGUGGACUAACUCCCAUACAUGUUCUUCAGCCUUAGUCCUGGGUGUCUACACAUUUCCUCCAUCACAAGAUGGCUCACUCUCACAUAGCCCAUGAGAUUGAAAAGAUCACUGGGAGAGAACAUAGAAGAAUCUUUCUUAGAAAAGCAUGUAUGCAUAGGCAGUUGAAUCUCUAAUAAAGGUGGAUCAGACCUUUACUACAUGGACAUAGGUAAUUGUCUACUGGUGGCCAGCUGAGCCUGAAGAGAGUGGCAAUUACCCUGCACUCAAAAUCAUCUCAGGGACUGGAUUGUACUGUGUGAUUUUUAUCAUAAGAUUUGUUUUAUGGGGCCAGUGAGAUGGCUCAGCAGUAAAGGCACUUGAUGUAAGACUGAGGACAAGAAAUUGAACCUGGAAAAUGCAUGGUGGACUGAGAGAAUCAGGCAUAGAGGGUUUAAAAGGUUUAAAUCUGAUGGAUCCACAGCCAGCUAUUGGACCUCCCAAACAAGCAUUGUAAGAAGUAAAUUUGGGAAAGAUUUAUUUUAUCUUUACCCCAUAUGUCACAUUGUUUUACAAUGCUAUAAAUUCCCAUUGCUUAGAAGGAAAAAAAAUCUGUUCAUGUUCUUCAUUUCUUUCCAGAUCAUCGCUCGGCCUUAAUUUCUCUCCUUGGAAGUCCAACAACAACCCCAACAUAUAGUUCAAUUGGUUUAGUAAACUAUACUAAGACCAUGAGCUUUUAUCCAUACCAAGGAAAAAUCCCCUAUAAAUAAUAAUAAUUCCUGUGAAUUGAGAGUCACUUUUUUGUCCCUAGCAUCUUCUGAAACUGCUAACAGUGCAACUUCAGCAAGCGACCAGCAAAAGCCACCAGGAGGAUGGUGAAGGUGGUGUCUAGGAAAAGCACACUUGUGUCCAUAAUGGGGAGAAAAGUCUGUUGGAAUUACACUUUUGUUCCUCGGUUCACUGAAGAAUAUCAAGUUCAAGCUGGUACUUCCAAAGAAAGAGCAGAAAGUGAAAUGGAAGGGCCCCUGACCCUGCUAACAGUGAAACUUCACCAAGCGACCAGCAACAGCCAACAGUGAGGAUGGUGAAGGUGGUAUCUAAAAAACACAGAUCUGGUAUGUAUUGUUGGAUCACUUUCCUAAG